GACGAACGCUGGCGGCGUGGAUUAGGCAUGCAAGUCGAACGGUAUCAUCCUUUCGGGGGUGAGAGAGUGGCGAACUGGUGAGUAACACGUAGGUUAUCUACCCUCAAGACGGGGACAACCCAGGGAAACUUGGGCUAAUACCGGAUGUGAGCAACUUUUAGUUGUUUGAAAGGUGGCGUAAGCUGUCGCUUGGGGAUGAGCCUGCGUCCUAUUAGUUAGUUGGUGAGGUAACGGCUCACCUAGGCAAUGAUAGGUAGCGGCCUUAACGGGUGUCGCCCAACUGGGAUUGAGAUACGGCCCAGACUCCUACGGGAGCAGCAGUCGAGAAUAGUCUACAAUGGUCGGAAGACUGAUAGUGCGACGCCGCGUGAACGAUGAAUCCCGUUCGGGUGUAAAGUUCUUUUAUAUGUGAGCAGUGCUUCUUAUAUUAACAGUAUGGGGAGAGAGAUAUUAGCAUAUGAAUAAGCAACGGCUAACUCCGUGCCAGCAGCCGACGGU
rnacentral:rRNA from 1 species